rnacentral:rRNA from 1 species
AGUGAACGCUGGCGGCAGGCCUAACACAUGCAAGUCGAACGGCAGCACAGUAAGAGCUCGCUCUUACGGGUGGCGAGUGGCGGACGGGUGAGGCAUACAUCGGCAUCUACUUUUUCGUGGGGGAUAACGUAGGGAAACUUACGCUAAUACCGAAUAUGACCUACGGGUGAAAGCAGGGGAUCUUCGCACCUUGCGCGACUGAAUGAGCCGAUGUCGCAUUAGCUAGUUGGCGGGGUAAAGGCCCACCAAGGCGACGAUACGUAGCGGGUCUGAGAGGAUGAUCGGCCACACUGGAACUGAGACACGGUCCAGACUCCUACGGGAGGCAGCAGUGGGGAAUCUUCGACAAAGGGCGCAAGCCUGACCCAGCCAUGCCGCGUGGGUGAAGAAGGCCUUCGGGUCGUAAAGCCCUUUUGUUGGGGAAGAAAAGCAGUAGGUUAAUCCCCCCCUGUUCUGACGGUACCCAAACAAUAAGCACCGGCUAACUUCGUG